rnacentral:rRNA from 1 species
GGCCUAACACAUGCAAGUCGAGCGGCAGCGCGGACUGUAGCAAUACAUUCUGGCGGCGAGCGGCGGACGGGUGAGUAAUACGUAGGAACCUACCCUCGAGCGGGGGACAACCAAUGGAAACGUUGGCUAAUACCGCAUAAUCUCGAGAGAGAAAAGGUGCCCGCAAGGGUGUCGCUUUUGGAGAGGCCUGCGUCCGAUUAGCUAGUUGGUGAGGUAAAGGCUCACCAAGGCGAUGAUCGGUAACUGGUCUGAGAGGACGACCAGUCACACUGGGACUGAGACACGGCCCAGACUCCUACGGGAGGCAGCAGUGGGGAAUAUUGGACAAUGGGGGCAACCCUGAUCCAGCGAUGCCGCGUGGGUGAAGAAGGCCUUCGGGUUGUAAAGCCCUUUAGGUUGGGAAGAAGGGUGUUGGGGGAAUAUCCCAGCACUUUGACUGUACCGACAGAA